GUUACUGACCACACCCUCUGUGAUCUUUUCAAAAGGGCAGAACGUUGCUAACGUUGAGGUAGAGAUGUUGUAGGGAAUCACAUCAUCUCUGUUGAGGUAGAGAUGUUGUAGGGAAUCACAUCAUCUCUGUUGAGGUAGAGAUGUUGUAGGGAAUCACAUCAUCUCUGUUGAGGUAGAGAUGUUGUAGGGAAUCACAUCAUCUCUGUUGAGGUAGAGAUGUUGUAGGGAAUCACAUCAUCUCUGUUGAGGUAGAGAUGUUGUAGGGAAUCACAUCAUCUCUGUUGAGGUAGAGAUGUUGUAGGGAAUCACAUCAUCUCUGUUGAGGUAGAGAUGUUGUAGGGAAUCACAUCAUCUCUGUUGAGGUAGAGAUGUUGUAGGGAAUCACAUCAUCUCUGUUGAGGUAGAGAUGUUGUAGGGAAUCACAUCAUCUCUGUUGAGGUAGAGAUGUUGUAGGGAAUCACAUCAUCUCUGUUGAGGUAGAGAUGUUGUAGGGAAUCACAUCAUCUCUGUUGAGGUAGAGAUGUUGUAGGGAAUCACAUCAUCUCUGUUGAGGUAGAGAUGUUGUAGGGAAUCACAUCAUCUCUGUUGAGGUAGAGAUGUUGUAGGGAAUCACAUCAUCUCUGUUGAGGUAGAGAUGUUGUAGGGAAUCACAUCAUCUCUGUUGAGGUAGAGAUGUUGUAGGGAAUCACAUCAUCUCUGUUGAGGUAGAGAUGUUGUAGGGAAUCACAUCAUCUCUGUUGAGGUAGAGAUGUUGUAGGGAAUCACAUCAUCUCUGUUGAGGUAGAGAUGUUGUAGGGAAUCACAUCAUCUCUGUUGAGGUAGAGAUGUUGUAGGGAAUCACAUUUCUAAUAAACGUUGAGGUAGAGAUGUUUUGUUGUAGGGAAUCACGUCAUCUCUGUUGAGGUAGAGAUGUUGUAGGGAAUCACAUCAUCUCUGUUGAGGUAGAGAUGUUGUAGGGAAUCACAUCAUCUCUGUUGAGAUAGAGAUGUUUUACUGUAGGAAAUCCUGUCAUCUCAAAACUGUAAAAUCUGCCUCAUUCUGAGUGUUUCACCUCACUGACCUCACUUCCUGCUUACUGACCACACACAGAGAGAGAGAGGGCUCUUACAGCUGUGACAUCAUCCCAGGUUCUUUAGAGUCCCGUUCCUCUCCCUGCCGCUGCUGCUUCCUGGUUUAGACUUGAUUUUGUUACGGUUGUCACGGUUGCGGUUGUCACGGAUGCGGUUGUCACGGUUUUGCAUGGCUUGCUCAGACUGCUGUGGACUUUUUUUUUUUUUUUUUACAUUUGAUACAUGUGUUGAUGUGUGUUUUUCAACAAACAAACAAACAAAAAGUUGUGUUUUUUGAUACUGAAGUUUUUUUAUUAAAAGUGUUGUUUUUUAAAAUUGAUUUGGUAAAGAAAGCCAACUCACCUGUGAUCCUUGUCUCUCGCUUCGUCUGUCUCUCUCUGUCUGCCUUGUCUUGUCUGUUGGCUGCACACACUACUUGCUCAGUUGGACCAAUAUCCCUCCUAAACCCAGCCCCACAGCACAAGGGCACCCUACACUGUAAUGCUUCAGGGCCAAUGGGGGGUUUUAGUUGUGGGCUACUCUGCAUCACACAGGGCACUAGGUUCCCUACACUGUAGUGUUUCAGGGCUCAAUGGAGGGUUUUAGUUGUGGGCUACUCUGCAUCACACAGGGCACUAGGUUCCCUACACUGUAGUGUUUCAGGGCCAAUGGGGGGUUUUAGUUGUGGGCUACUCUGCAUCACACAGGGCACUAGGUUCCCUACACUGUAGUGUUUCAGGGCUCAAUGGAGGGUUUUAGUUGUGGGCUACUCUGCAUCACACAGGGCACUAGGUUCCCUACACUGUAAUGCUUCAGGGCCAAUGGGGGGUUUUAGUUGUGGGCUACUCUGCAUCACACAGGGCACUAGGUUCCCUACACUGUAAUGCUUCAGGGCCAAUGGGGGUUUUUAGUUGUGGGCUACUCUGCAUCACACAGGGAGUACAGUGGAUUAAACACACACACACACAGAACUCCUUUUCAAUGAAGACGGCAUGUGAUUGUGAGGGCUAUGGUAAGGGUUGAGGUUUGGGACACGGAUAGUGAUGGAGGAAGGCUACCUGUUGGUUUCAGAGGGAUUUUUUAGAUUCCUAACGCUCACACACACACACACACACACACACACACACACGACACACACAGUUCAAACUAUCUGAUUGGCUCGUUGGGAUAUUUGAAAGAAUAGGGCUCCUCUUCCCGUCUACUAAACCUCCAGAUAACUCCGCCCCUUCCUGUCGUUCGCUGUCACCUGCUCAUCUUUCACCCCCUCACUCAUGACCCCUCUCCUACCCAUGAUGCUUUACAUGUCUCUCAGCCUAUGCUGUUUGUUCUGCUACUGCUGACGCACACUGAAGCCUGCCAGGACUAGCGCCACCUUUAGCCAUUCUACCUCGCUAAGGUACGGCUAGCUAUAGCUAGUCUAUCCUACAGCUA